rnacentral:rRNA from 1 species
UUCCGGUUGAUCCUGCCGGAGGUCACUGCUAUUGGGAUUCGACUAAGCCAUGCGAGUUGAGAGGGUUCGGCCCUCGGCAGACGGCUCAGUAACACGUGGAUAAUCUGCCCUUAGGUGGAGGAUAACCUCGGGAAACUGAGAAUAAUACUCCAUAGAUCUGGAAUGCUGGAAUGCAUCUAGGUUGAAAGUCCGGCGCCUAAGGACGAGCCCGCGGACUAUCAGGUAGUAGUCAGGGUAAAGACCUGACUAGCCUAUGACGGAUACGGGUUGUGAGAGCAAUAACCCGGAGACGAUAUCUGAGACACGAUAUCGGGCCCUACGGGGCGCAGCAGGCGCGAAAACUUCACACUGUGCGAAAGCACGAUGAGGGGAUCCCAAGUGCUGGCUCGUAAGAGUCAGCUGUUUCUUUGUCUAAAAAACAAAGAGAGUAAGGGCUGGGUAAGACGGGUGCCAGCCGCCGCGGUAAUACCUGCAGCUCAAGUGGUGGCCGCUAUUAUUGGGCCUAAAACGUCCGUAGCCGGUUUAGUAAAUGCCUGGGUAAAUCGUGUAGCUUAACUAUACGAAUUCCGGGUAGACUGCUGAACUUGAGAUCGGGAGAGGCUAGAGGUACUCCUGGGGUAGAGGUGAAAUUUUGUAAUCCUAGGGGGACCACCAGUGGCGAAGGCGUCUAGCUAGAACGAGUCUGACGGUGAGGGACGAAGCCCUGGGGCGCAAACCGGAUUAGAUACCCGGGUAGUCCAGGGUGUAAACGCUGCUCGCUUGAUGUUAGUUGGGCUCCGAGCCCAACUAGUGUCGGAGAGAAGUUGUUAAGCGAGCUGCCUGGGAAGUACGGUCGCAAGGCUGAAACUUAAAGGAAUUGGCGGGGGAGCACAGCAACGGGUGGAGCGUGCGGUUUAAUUGGAUUCAACGCCGGG